AGAGUUUGAUCCUGGCUCAGAACUAACGCUGGUGGCGUGUCUUAGUCAUGCAAGUCGAACGAGAAAGCACCUUCGGGUGCGAGUAAAGUGGCGAACGGGUGCGUAACACGUAGGUAACCUGCCCUGAAAUGGGGGAUAACCAUGGGAAACUGUGGCUAAUACCGCAUAAUCUCGCCGGGACGGGAGUACCGGUGAGGAAAGCUGAGGCGAUUUGGGAGGGGCCUGCGGUCGAUUAGCUGGUUGGUGGGGUAAAGGCCCACCAAGGCGAUGAUCGAUAGCUGUUCUGAGAGGAAGACCAGCCACACGGGAACUGAGACACGGUUCCGACUCCUACGGGGGGCAGCAGUGAGGAAUAUUGCGCAAUGGGGGAAACCCUGACGCAGCAACGCCGCGUGGAGGACGAAGGUUUUCGGAUUGUAAACUCCUUAUCUGGGGGAAGAGAGAGGACGGUACCCCAGGACGAAGACACGGCUAACUAGGUGCCAGCAGCCGCGGUAAUACCUAGGUGUCGAGCGUUAUCCGGAAUUACUGGGCGUAAAGGGUGCGCAGGCGGCGAUACAAGUCUGGCGUGAAAGCUUCUGGCUUAACUGGGAGAGGACGUUAGAAACUGUAUGGCUAGAGUGAAUGAGAGGGGGGCGGAAAUCCCGGUGUAGUGGUGGAAUGCGUAGAUAUCGGGAAGAACACCAGAGGCGAAGGCGGCCUCCUGGCAUUUUACUGACGCUGAGGCACGAAAGCGUGGGUAGCGAACGGGAUUAGAUACCCCGGUAGUCCACGCUGUAAACGAUGUGAACGAGGUGUGGGCGGUGUAGAAGCCGUCUGUGCCGGAGCAAACGCGAUAAGUUCACCGCCUGGGGAGUACGGUCGCAAGGCUAAAACUCAAAGGAAUUGACGGGGGCCCGCACAAGCAGCGGAGCGUGUGGUUUAAUUCGAUGCAACGCGAAGAACCUUACCUGGGCUUGACAUGUACGUAGUAGUGAAGGGAAACCGGAACGAGCCUUCGGGCAGCGUAGACAGGUGCUGCAUGGCUGUCGUCAGCUCGUG
rnacentral:rRNA from 1 species